UGAGAAAAAAUACAAAAGGGUUGCGAUUGAGAUCCUUGCAUUUCUGUCUCUCGUGAUUGCUUGUGACGGGCUUCAACCAAGAUUAUAGCUUGGAAAAGACUACAACCCGAUGCAGGUCAUACAUCAUAGGUGUGGGCUUCAACCUACACGGUGCUUACAAGAUUGAAUGUAAAAACUAAUGGACUUAGAUUGUGAAGAUGUUUUAUGCAGGACAACUAGACAAGUCAUGUGGAGAUAGAUACUUGAGAAGGAUCAAGCUAACAAGUCUGAGUGUUGAAGACAACAUGGUCCACACAGAUGAUGUCAAUGUUUAGAUAUACGGAAAACGCUCUCUCCAUAACGUUGCGGGCCUUGGGCUACCAUGCUACACCUUUUUGCACUUUUAGCUGGUUGAUCUUGUGGCGACAUAUCAAGGGACACUAAAAUCGCCUAAGGAGUCACCUUCCCAUCCAGUCAACACAUAAAUGAAGUUCAUAUUUGGGUCACAUUAGCCGGUGUGUUUGUGUUUAUGGAGAUGUUUCCCUUUCUCGUCUAGCAACACACUUCUCGGCACUGCUCACAUGCAAGUCCAUAUAUGCCAUGUCCAAAGCACCCUCAUAGACUUACAAAGGAGGCAUAAGAGUGAUAAAAAUUUGCUCAAAUAUUGAGCUUGCAUUUUAAAAUUCUAGUUCCGCUAUUGGCUAACAGUUUAUACCUUGCCUGGGUGUGAUUGUGUAAUACAUUUGUCAAAUAUUAUGCUUGCAUCUUAAAUGACAUCUUACUCUAAAUGACUUUCUUAUUCUCUCCUGUCUCCAAAUAAAAGUAUUUGUCACUCCAUCUCUAAAUAAAAAUC